CGAAGGGUGCAACCGUUGCUCGGAAUUAUUGGGCGUAAAGCGCACGUAGGCGGCAUUGCAAGUCGGAUGUGAAAUCCCUCGGCUUAACCAAGGAAGUGCAUCCGAAACUGCAGUGCUUGAGUACUUAAGAGGAUCGCGGAAUUCCCGGUGUAGAGGUGAAAUUCGUAGAUAUCGGGAGGAACACCAGUGGCGAAGGCGGCGAUCUGGGAAGAUACUGACGCUGAGGUGCGAAAGCGUGGGGAGCAAACAGG
rnacentral:rRNA from 1 species